GACGAACGCUGGCGGCGUGCCUAACACAUGCAAGUCGAGCGCGUAGCCAUCGGUAGCAAUACCGGUGGUGGGCGAGCGGCGAACGGGUGCGUAACACGUGGGCAACCUGCCCCAGACUCUGGGAUAACCCCGGGAAACCGGGGCUAAUACCGGAUACUCUCGGCCGGCCGCAUGAUCGGCCGAGGAAAGCUCCGACGGUCUGGGAUGGGCCCGCGGCCUAUCAGCUUGUUGGUGGGGUAACGGCCUACCAAGGCGACGACGGGUAGCUGGUCUGAGAGGACGGCCAGCCACACUGGGACUGAGAUACGGCCCAGGCUCCUACGGGAGGCAGCAGUGGGGAAUCUUGCGCAAUGGGCGAAAGCCUGACGCAGCGACGCCGCGUGAGGGAUGAAGGCCUUCGGGUUGUAAACCUCUUUCGGCAGGGACGAAGCGAAAGUGACGGUACCUGCAGAAGAAGCCCCGGCUAACUACGUGCCAGCCGCCGCGGUAA
rnacentral:rRNA from 1 species